rnacentral:lncRNA from 1 species
CGGGAAGUUUGUGAUCCCUUUCUUUUCAAAACAUAAUAUACACAGGUAAAUAGAUGCAAGAUAUAAAAAAAUUGUACUAUAAGAGAAAUGGAUGUAAAACAUGAUUAAUUAUUUGUUGAAAUUGAAAUAGAGUAACAAACAACACAAAGAAUACAAUAUUAUACAGCAGGGUAGCAUGAUAACAUGAAUUAUUUCCCUAUAAGCAUAGACAGACAAAUUCAANNNNN